GGAUUAGAUACCCUGGUAGUCCACGCAGUAAACGAUGGGUACUAGACGUUGGAAAGCGUAAAGCUAUUUAGUGUCGCAGUUAACACAAUAAGUACCCCGCCUGGGGAAUACGGCCGCAAGGCUAAAACUCAAAGGAAUUGACGGGGGCCCGCACAAGCGGUGGAGCAUGUGGUUUAAUUCGAUGCAACGCGCAAGACCUUACCUACCCUUGACAUCCUGUUAAGUUAACGGAGACGUUAAUGUGUUUACGGACAUGCAGAGACAGGUGCUGCAUGGCUGUCGUCAGCUCGUGUUG
rnacentral:rRNA from 1 species